rnacentral:rRNA from 1 species
AGCAGCCGCGGUAAUUCCAGCUCCAAUAGCGUAUAUUAAAGUUGUUGCAGUUAAAAAGCUCGUAGUUGAAUUUCGGGGUUAGCAAGUUGGUCGUGCCUUCGGUAUGCACUGGCUUUGCUGAUUCCUCCUUCUUGAAGAACUGUGAUGCUAUUAAUUUGGUGUUGCAGGGAAACAGGACUGUUACUUUGAAAAAUUAGAGUGUUUAAAGCAGGCUAACGCUUGAAUACAUUAGCAUGGAAUAAUGAAAUAGGACGUUUGAUCCUAUUUUGUUGGUUUCUAGGAUUGACGUAAUGAUUAAUAGGGAUAGUUGGGGGCAUUAGUAUUCAAUUGUCAGAGGUGAAAUUCUUGGAUUUAUUGAAGACUAACUACUGCGAAAGCAUUUGCCAAG